AUUGAACGCUGGCGGCAUGCUUUACACAUGCAAGUCGAACGGGCUUGGGGGCUUGCUCCCAAGUUAGUGGCGAACGGGUGAGUAAUACAUCGGAACGUACCGUGUAGUGGGGGAUAACGUAGCGAAAGUUACGCUAAUACCGCAUACAAUCUACGGAUGAAAGCAGGGGACCUUCGGGCCUUGUGCUAUACGAGCGGCCGAUGUCUGAUUAGCUAGUUGGUGAGGUAAAGGCUCACCAAGGCGACGAUCAGUAGCGGGUCUGAGAGGAUGAUCCGCCACACUGGGACUGAGACACGGCCCAGACUCCUACGGGAGGCAGCAGUGGGGAAUUUUGGACAAUGGGCGAAAGCCUGAUCCAGCCAUGCCGCGUGUCUGAAGAAGGCCUU
rnacentral:rRNA from 1 species